rnacentral:rRNA from 1 species
GACAGAGGGUGCGAACGUUGUUCGGAAUUACUGGGCGUAAAGGGCGCGUAGGCGGUACUUCAAGUCAGGCGUGAAAGCCCCGGGCUCAACCUGGGAACCGCGCUUGAGACUGGAGAACUAGAGUUCGGGAGAGGAUGGUGGAAUUCCCAGUGUAGAGGUGAAAUUCGUAGAUAUUGGGAAGAACACCGAUGGCGAAGGCAGCCAUCUGGACCGACACUGACGCUGAGGCGCGAAAGCGUGGGGAGCAAACAGG